GGGUGCGAUCAUACCAGCGUUAACACACCGAAUCCCAUCAAAACUUAGUAGUUAAGCACGCUUUGGCUAGAGUAGUACUAGGAUGGGUGACGUCCCGGGAAGUCCAGGUGUUGCACCCU
rfam:Picea glauca, whole genome shotgun sequence.